UGACAUUUUUCCAAAAUUAUCAUCAAUUUCUUUGAUAUUCCAGUAUUGGCAAUCCCAUUAUCUUCAGGAACUCUGUUGGUUGUUGUUUAGCCGGCUCUGAAUUUGUAUAGACACAAGUUAGUUGUCAUUGCCUGAGUUUCAUAGGACAUUAUUUAUUUUUAUUUUACUUUUCUUGGAUUUUUUUAGUGCAGUGUGUACAAUGCACAUUGCUAAAGGGUAAUGCAGCUAUUGAGUUCUUCAGCAACAGAGCCAGUACAGGUAUGUGUUUUCACAAGAUUAAGACCUUGUUGCCAUGAGUGUACUUGUGUACCUUCUGGGAUUAUGUACAUGAUUCAUAUCCUAAGUACCUAAAUAUUAUGCAGAAGAAUUUAGACGCCCGUUGGAUGUAGACCCCUGGAGUGUUAUCUGUCUACUGAGCUGUUGCACUGAUGUAGCCUGGAUGGGGUGCCAUCCAGUGUGGGCUCCUUGAAGUAGGGCAAUGGAUUCUUGCUGGUCCCUGCAUGGGAUUGAUGCCCACAUGUGGUACCUCCUUGUGUGUGUCAUAAAUUCCUCCAUGAUGAGUGAGAGAGAGAUCCCCUUUAUUCACUCUAUAAAAGAGUGGUACAACAACCACUGAAGUCUGAAGUUGUAGAGUUUUUCAUGAAAUGAGGACAUCCUUUUGGUGGUAGUGGACACAAGCCUCAUUUCUAUGCAUGAUUUGAUGGGAUCUGAUCCUGUAACUGCUAAAAUGAUCAAUUGGAACUCUAUGUGGAUGUUUCUCCAUACUUGACCUCAGUGAGAAGAAGACCCACAGCUUAGCUGUUCUGAAUUUCCCAUUUAAGCUGCAUGCACUCAUAGUUGUGGACCCAGCUGUAGUUUCUUUUUCUUUUUCUUUUUGAGUCAGAAGAGAGCAUGAAUUCAGAGAAAUAAUUCUGCCAAUUCAGUUUAACUUACUUCACAUUCCUAUGCUUUUAUGACUCCCCCUCCCCAUACACACACUUACACCUCACAGUCCCAUUACAAAUGAGAAUAUUCUAUUUAAAAACUUUAAAAAAUAUUAACUACUGGCUCUUGUGACUUACAUGCUUGUGGGAUGAUGUCCUUAGGAUGAACAGUUCCAAGUCUGAUUUUGUCUGCAUUUGAAAAAGCUUCAACAAUUUGGCCCCCCCCCCAUGUAAACCUAUGAAGUGAACAAAAUGAAAGGGGGAUUGAGGAUGAUGAUGGUGAUGGAAUUGUUAUUAUUAUUAUUAUUAUUAUUUUAUUUCAUACAAAAAACAAAACAUGCUUGUUUCUGUUGUGCAUGUGUGCCUGUUUUGAGGUACUCUACUGUCUAGAUACAAAAUUUGGGGUCAAACUUCAGGUCUUUCAAGACCUUGCUUCUAAUAUUGUGGCAUUGUUGGAUUCCUCUGAAUAGUCUAACCACUUUUUUAGAAUAUUUAUCAAUAGACUAAUAGUUUUAAGACAUUAUCAUGCUUGGUAUUAUGAUUCACAGCAUAAUUUUACAACAAACGUGAUCUGAUUUUACUAAUAUGUUUUUGUACAGAAAUCUAUUAUAACUUUUACCAAAUUGUAUUAUUAUGCUUUAAAAAUAUUAACAUAUAUUACAUAUUACAUACUUUGAAUGUUUUCUUUGAUUCAAAAAGCAGUCACUCAUAAUUCUACCUGCAAUGUAAAAGCCACCUGUUUUUUGAACUGCAUCCCAUUAAGCCUCUCUUCAUUAUGUUGUAAAAUUUCACAAAUGAAUUAUAUGUGGAGUCCACUCCCAUAUUAAAGGAGAGAACAUUCUAUUGCAAAACAUUGGUUAAAUUAUCCCAUCACCAUGUUAACCUAAAUCUUCCAUUACUCAUUGUAUUUAAAAUUUAUGUUGCAUUUAAACAAAUAAAUAAAACACUAUUUUUUAAGAUUUGAUUAUGUGAGACAUUUAAUUAAAUAUAUGAAUAGAAACUUAAAGUUGCAUAUUGUAUGAGUAUUCAAACAUAUACAAUAUGGAAAGCAUGAAGAAAAGCACAAC
rnacentral:lncRNA from 1 species